rnacentral:lncRNA from 12 species
GACAGGAAGAGACAAAAGCAUUCUCUGGAGGAAAGAUGGAGAGCCUGAGGAGUUUGGAGAUGCAUUUUCAUCAGCUUAGAAAAGGGCUGGAGCAUUGGAUGGCAAAGGCUGGAGGCCCUGCUACUCGAGUGAAGGUGGCUGCAGAGACAGGAGGAGUCUUGAUGCCAAGUUCUGAGCCAAAGGAGAAAACCAAGAAUUUGGGGCUGCAGGAGUGCACCAAAUCACUGAAGGAUUGACACUGGGAAUAACCCAUGGGUGGUGGUGGAGGGAGGCAGGUGAGCACAACCUGAGCACUGCACUUCAAACCCACUGAUGAUUUGGCUCCUGGCUGCUGCUGGGUCUGUUUAUCCCACAGACUUGGCAGGCACAGGACACUUCCCAAAUGUUGGGGUUGAUGAAAGUUGUGGCUGGCCAGCUGCCAGAUCUUGAGGCUAUCAACUGGCUCCCAAAGUGUGGAUGCUAAUUAGCACUUCCCUUCUGUAAAAAUUUCUGUUGCAAAGUCUGGGGAAUCAGUGUUUGUACAGCCCCUGGCACAGCCAGACCGUGCUCACCAUGGAGGUCUUGUACAUCAUUGCAAGACAGAAAUACAUUAUAAAAACAUUUUUCUCCUUCACAGAAUUCUGGUCUUCCCAGAAUUGCUUUUAGAGUAAGCAAACCUCAUGUUAAAAU